UGAUGAUGGUGAAGACGACGAGAUAAGUGAAGAGGGCCUUGCUAGGUUUGAACAGAAUUGUGAUUUUGCAGGGAGCAUGACGAUAGUGGGUCAGUGCGUUUGUGCUUAAAGGAAUGAGCUUUUUUGUUGUUUGAAUACACUAAGAUCUAAUCGAUGGCCAAUUUGUUGAUUCUGCAUCAGUUAUUCUGAAACACCUCCUGGAGAGUCAAUCGACAUUGAUAACAUUUUGGCUUCAAUCAAGGAUCUUUAAAUUAACCCAUAUAGCAUUAGAGAGUUCCUGCCGAAGGUUAACUGAGAGCAGUUGCUUCCAUGUAUGUUCUUGGACGAUCUGCUGAAGAAUGUGAAGCAAGUUAUGGAAGCAUGCUCGAGGGUGAGGCUAAUGGACUCAAGUGGGAGACCAUCAAGAGCAGAUUUGAGGUAUAGGCCAUGCUGGAGAUGUGUCUCUCAAUUUGUAUUAGAUCUUUUGUAAUGCCAAGAAAGUAUUGUGUAGGGUUUGUUAAUUGAAUUGUAUAAGAUUAAGGAUUCUAUCCUUGGGUUACUUAAUAAUAUUUUCUUCAUCUUCUAAACUUAAUUCAUUUCAAACAGUUCCUAU